rnacentral:rRNA from 1 species
AUUGAACGCUGGCGGCAGGCUUCACACAUGCAAGUCGAGCGAGCGGCGGACGGGUGAGUAAUGUCUGGGAAACUGCCUGAUGGAGGGGGAUAACUACUGGAAACGGUAGCUAAUACCGCAUACCAUCAGAUGUGCCCAGAUGGGAUUAGCUAGUAGGUGGGGUAAUGGCUCACCUAGGCGACGAUCCCUAGCUGGUCUGAGAGGAUGACCAGCCAAACGGGAACUGUGACACGGUCCAGACGCCUACGUGAGGCAGCAGUGGGGAAUAUUGGACAAUGGGGGAAAGCCUGAUGCAGCCAUGCCGCGUGUGUGAUGAAGGCCUUCGGGUUGUAAAGCACUUUCGGCGGAGAGGCGUUACUCGCAGAAGAAGCACCGGCUAACUCCGUGCCAGCAGCCGCGGUAAUAC